rnacentral:rRNA from 1 species
UCGGGAAUUUUGGGCAAUGGGCGNNNNNNNGNCCCAGNNACGCCGCGUGAGGGAUGAAGUAUUUCGGUAUGUAAACCUCGAAAGNNNGGGAANAAUAAAUGACNNUACCAUUUAUAAGCUCCGGCUAACUACGUGCCAGCAGCCGCGGUAAUACGUAGGGAGCAAGCGUUGUUCGGAUUUACUGGGCGUAAAGGGCGCGUAGGCGGCGCGGUAAGUCACUUGUGAAAUCUCUGAGCUUAACUCAGAACGGCCAAGUGAUACUGCUGUGCUAGAGUGCGGAAGAGGCAACCGGAAUUCUUGGUGUAGCGGUGAAAUGCGUAGAUAUCAAGAGGAACACCUGAGGCGAAGGCGGGUUGCUGGGCCGACACUGACGCUGAUGCGCGAAAGCCAGGGGAGCAAACG